rnacentral:rRNA from 1 species
GUAGCGUAAUCACUUGUUCUUUAAAUGUGGACUAGUAUGAAUGGCACCACGAAGGUUAUACUGUCUCCUUUUUCUAAUCAGUGAAACUAAUCUCCCCGUGAAGAAGCGGGGAUAAAACUAUAAGACGAGAAGACCCUAUGGAGCUUUAAACAACAUAGCACUUGCCACACACCAUUUAUAUUCCAGAAUCUUAAAUUCCCUGAGCAAUAUGACUAUAAGUUUUUGGUUGGGGUGACCGCGGAGCAUAACACAACCUCCAUGUUGAAAGAAUCAUUUUCUAAGCUAAGAACUACAACUCUAAGCAUCAACAUAUUGACAUCCAUUGACCCAAUACAUUUGAACAACGAACCAAGUUACCCUAGGGAUAACAGCGCAAUCCACUUCAAGAGCUCCUAUCGACAAGUGGGUUUACGACCUCGAUGUUGGAUCAGGGUAUCCCAGUGGUG